rnacentral:lncRNA from 1 species
GCCAAUUCAGCACCUCUACCUGGCCAUCCUAACAAGGUGAUUUGUGAAAGGGUGAGACUUCAGAGCCUGUUCCCUCUCCUCCCAAGUGAUCAGAACACUACCGUUCAAGAGGAUGCUCACUUCAAAGCUUUCUUCCAGGUUCUUAUAUAUUUACCCUUUCCCUACACAGGGCUGAAAGUCACAGAUACAUUCUUGGUUGUUUCUAGGAAGGCUUAAAACAUUUCUUAUUAUCAUCUUCUUAUUUUCUGUUGUACGUGGGAAUAAAUAUUCUUCUUAGAGCACUUCUUCAACAUAACUUUCAGCCAUUGUUUUCUGAAAAAUAUUUGGCUUCUCUUGAAAUAUUUUUACAUUUUUUAACGAUUUACCAGUCUGGUUUUUCAAUCUUAGUCUUAAUCACUUGUUCUAAUAAGCCAAGUUUUGUUAGGAAAGUAGAAGAUAAAAAAUGUGUGAAAGUGUGUAGGAAAUGAAAACAUGAAAGCAUAUAAACUAUUUUUAUAAGCCAUCAUUUAUUCAUUUGCUUACUGCCCUGAGUUUCUAGUAAUACAUAUUUCUGAGAGAAAGCAUGGCUGUUUGGCUUCUGUGUCUUUUAGUUCCUAUAUGUUAAUUACAAUUUAAAAUUAAAAAAAAAAUACAAGGUGAAGGCUGGGCACAGUGGUAUGUGCCUAUAAUCUCAGACAAAGAAAGCUGAGGCAGAAAGAUUGCAAAUUUGAGGCAAGCCUAGGCAAUGUAGCAGUACCUUGUCUCACAAUGAAAUUAAAAGGACUUAGGUUGUAGCUCAGCGGUAGAGCACCCCAGGUUCAAUCCCCAGUGCUGCUAAAAAAUAAGAUGAAAACAGGAAAGUUAAGAAGUUGUAAAAAGAAUAAAAUCAUCUUUUUAGGUUGUUAGUGAAAUUACUGAGAUCUGCUAAAACACAAACCACUGGCUACUAAACUUUCACACCAUCCUCCUAGACAGUCACAUUUCAGUAAUGGAAGUCAGUCUUGCAAUUUUACCAGAAAGAAACCAAAUUAUAUAAUUGCUUCUAGAUGGUAGGCUUGUGGGCUAAGGCAUAUAUAUGUACACCUGCAAACCUGAGGUAGUAAAGUAUUUGAUAACCAACACUGGGACUUAGAGAAAGGCAGCUCAUUUCUAUUUGUGUGGAGAAACAGGUUGAAGCCUGGAACUGAUUUGAAAAGGAUAUGCUUAUGACACAUUAGUUGGACAUAUGAGAAGUUGGAAACAUGAAACUGUGAAGCUAUGUGAUCCAGGGUUCUUCAGUCUGAGUCUGAUAUUCUUUGUUGAAAUUUGUGACAGGUUCUCUGCAAGUAUUAAGUCUUUUGUUUGACUCUCAAACUAGUCUUCUAAUGUUAGAUGAGCAAAUAAAGUUUAAAAAGCUUCCUGAAGCUGGGUGCUGUGAAGUGUGUCUAUGAUCCUAGUGACUUGGGAGACAGGAGGGUGCAAGGUCAAGGCCAGCCUCAGCAACUUAGUGAGACCCAUCUCAAAAUAAAAAAAGACUGGGCAUAUGGUUCAGUGGUAAAGUGCCCCUGGGUUAAAUCCCCAGUACCAUAAAAACAAAACAAAAUAAUUUACUGAGACAUCUGCUUAAAUUCAGUUAUUGACAGAGCAGGGACUCAAAUUCAGCUUUAGCUAUAUCUUGUCCACUUUGUUAUACUACUUUAGAUAUCAAAAGGUAUUUCUACAAACUGUGCAGUAUAUAUUAAGAGAAUUAUCUAUAUUGAAUUGAAUGGCAUAUUGACUGAUUUUGAUUACAGCAUCAGUCUGCAGUAGCUUGAUAUUUAGUAGAUGAUGGAUGGCUAAGAAAGAAAUUGACUUAAUACCCUUACUACUGCAACCAAUAACAGUUAUUUUAUAUUCUUCAUGUUCUCCAUAUUCCCUUUAAGUCUCCAGGUACUCACUCAACAUUAACCUUAAACUUAGAGAUAGCUAGCUGCCAAAUGCAAUAGAUUUAAGCUCAUGUUUUAAAAAUGGAAGUGUAAUGUUAGAGCCUAUCUAUAUUUAGGGUGUUUUGUUAUUUUUUGGUUUGGGAUCUGGUGAUUGAAUACAAAGCCUCAUACAUGUAGACAUAUACUCUUCCACUGAGCUGCAUAAAACUUUAUAGAUCUUUCGUACAAUCUUUUGAACUACUGAUAAUUCAGCUAAUUUGAUACCAAAGUUGAGUGUAAUUUGUCAGUUCCAGCUAUGCUUUUCAUCCUAAGAAACUUGGUCACCAUAAAAAGGAAAACCUACCUAGUCAUCUCCUUUCCUUACAAAGUUACUCCCUUAAUGUGUUAUGCUUUCUUUUCCUUAGCUUUUCCCCCGCAAGUACCUUCCCUUCCAACUCAUUCUACUUUCCUUCCCUUUGGAGUACUAAAUUUUAAAUAUAUUUACCUAUCCUUUCAGUUUUUUUCUUAAAGCACCUUCUCUACUUCCUAUUUUAGAUAAGACUUCUCUUUUUUUCAGAGAGGAAGCCCUAUAACCUCCUCUAGAGGUAAAGAAAUUAUUGGUUGUUCUCCCUACCCCACCCCCCAAGCAUGGGGUUGGAUAUAUGGAUCGGAAGUAGGGCAGACAUAGGGGAGAAAAAAAGGUAUUGAUCUUCCCCUAGAUCCUUAAUGUUCUCUCUCUUUUUUUAAUGGUACCAGAGAUUGAACCUAGGGACACUUUAUCACUGAGCUUCAUCCUCAGCCUGUUUUGUUUUAUUUAACUGUUUAAGCUUUAAACUACAGCUAUUGAGAAAUUAAAUGCGAUGUAUAGAUAUAAUUUUGUAAACUACCUUGUGUGAUCCAAACAAAAUUUCAUACUUUCUCCUGCUUUCAUCCUUCCAUUGCAAAACAAAACUAUGUUUAUAGCUUAAAUAUUAUAGUUACAGAUAUUUGCUGAUUAGAAUCUAGUACUGUGGAACUAAAAUACAGUGGAGCUCUAAAAAUAUAGUGAUUGAAAACAACACAAAUUGUAGCAUCAAAUUAAAUGAGUUUUUGUGAACCAAUGGUGUUUUGUGUGAUUAAAAUUUGGGGAAAAUCUAGGACAUAACAUCACUCACUAAUUGUGCUGAUCAAAAUCUAGCCAUGCAGACCUCCUUAGAAAGUUUUACUAUAUAUAUAUAUAAAUAAAAUAAAAUCUCUUAUGGGUUCUGGUGUAUAGCCAAUGAUAAUGUCAUAGUAUUUUCACACAACGUUGGGUCCUUUACAUUCUGAUGGAAUUGCAAUAUGUUUUAUCACUAGUGUGCCACCAGCGUCUCUUUUUAAGCACUACUGCACAUAAAACUUAAUUUCUUCGAGCUUUUAUGAAAAAACACAAACUUGGACCAUGUCAUUCUGGGAAGAUAUAUUGGUUAUUUAGUUGAGAGAUUGAAUUUUAUAGUAAAAUUUUUGAAUUCAGGAGUAUCAGAGCUGUACAUCAAAAAAUAAGUCCUGUGAAACAGGACUAUGUACAUUGUAUGGUUGAAGGGCUAUAUACUUACCAAGUUGUCUUUCAGAGAAACAUUUUAUAUGUAUCUGAAUAUACCUUAAAAUGAAGACUACAGCUAUGGAAAUUUAAAUGUGAUAUAUAUAUAGAUAGAUAAAUAUAAUUUUGUAAACUACAGUGUGUGAUCCAAACAAAAUUUCAUACUUUUUUCUGCUUGCAUCCUGCCAUUGCAAAACAAAAAGGAAUCUGUUAUUCUUGAUUAGCAAAUUGAUUAUAUCAAGUAUUAAGUUUUCUAAGUGUUUUCACAUUUAUUAUUUAAAAUGAAUAAAAAUCUCUGAGAGUUUAUUCUUCCUUGGCCAUAUGCAGUUAAAUUUUGUCCCCUCCCUGCUUUGUCGUAGAAUGAGAAACUUCAUGUUUUGUUAAAGAUAGUUAAGGCUUGAGAAAAUCUGGUAGUUCAAAGGAAAAUUGGGAACUCUUAGAUUGUGCUUAUUUGUAAGUCUAAGGUGAAAGGUAGCCCUACUAAAUGAUUAACAAAUAGAGGGCUAGGUUACUAGAGGACAUUGAAUACACACACACACACACUAUUGCUCCUUUGAGAAGGAAAUCAUGGGACUUAGUAAUGAUUGCUAAAAUCAGAGGCACAUAUUAGUCACUGGUUUAGUUAGAACUUGGAACCCUUUUCCAUUUUGGUGAGAGUGUUUGUGGCAUAGCAUCUCCUUUAUUUCCAAGACUCCUUGAGAGUUUUCACCUAAGAUAUAAAAUAUUUUUCUUUAUCAUAUAAUGACAUCCGGCUUCAUGUAGUCCGCAGAGUUGCUGGAGCUAGACAAAAGAAGAUGGCUCCAGUGGUUUAUUUAAGGGGGGGUGCAUCAAAGUCAGGGAUAAGGUUUCAAGGGCAGAGUCUUGCUUCAGUGAAGUCUUGCAGUCAUCAGGUUGAUUGGCAUCUUGGCAGGUCACACCCAUCUCCUGUGCUGUGUGGGACAUGGCAGAGCGUAAUAGGAAUUCACAGUGUCUCUGGGCAGUCUUAGACAGAGGAAAUGUCCACUGCAAGUUAGUUCCCCAGACACCAGAUAUUCCUAUUCACUAGGCUAUGAUGUCAACAAAGUCCACACACAUAGCUCUUAGCUAUGGCAUGCUGAGGUAGAAUUCCUGCCCAGAAAAGUUUGUAAGUGGGGUCUGGGGUGGGGGGAGUGAAUAUGGGGCUGGUCAACUGUCACAGUUGUCAGAAACUUGAGUGUGUCAGAAUUCUAAGAGUGGAAAUACCUCAAGGGACCCAAUUGGAUAUUCUAGAAAUUGUAGAAGCUGAUGGAUGGGCCACAUGCCCUGAGAACCUUGUACCCUCAUCUGCUUAGGUGGCUAAGUCCCACAGUGUACAGCACUACUUCAUUCAGCCCUUCCCCUGGUGGGUCUACUCUCACCUCUAAUCCCAUCCCUACUACCACUCCAAGCUUUGGGGCAGCUCCUCCUCCUCCCCCCCCCCCCUCCCACCCUGCCCCCCCCCCGCCCCCCCCCCCCUCCUCCCAUCUUGGAUCAACAGCCCAUCCCCUCCUCUCCUCAGUUACCUCCUCUGUACCUCCCCCUGAGGCUAUCCCACCUGCCCUUAACCUAAAUCCAGGCUGCUUCUCCCCCACCAAAUUCUACAGUGGAGCCUCCACCAGAUACAUUACACGGAGAACUCAACACUCUAAAACCAUCAUGGCAGACAACAUUCGGGCCCUUUGCCCUCUACAGUGAGUGAAACCAAAUUUAAAGAGAUCAUGAAGCGAAACAGCAAUAUUCAGCAGUGCCAUUUCCACAGCAGUGUCUGGAGCCAGUGCAAGGGAUUACAGUGACGUGAUUGAGACCCACAGUCACUGCAGUUAUCAAGCAGUCUUGGGUCACCAAUCAUGAGCAUUGCCACAUUCUUAUAUCCUCUUCUUAAGAACUGUCUUCAUGGCACUGAGGACAAGUCCUACUGUAUGUGUGCCAGUGAGAGCUCUUCCAGGAAGACAUUGCUCCAGAGAGGUCACCCAGCCAGUCCUGGGAGAAUCGCAGAAGGCCCCAGAAUCUGUAAUGAAGGUUGACAUGAUGCUUAUUUCCAACAAGGAACUGGGACCACAGGUGAUGCUGGAAUAGGGAGCAGGAUCAGCCCCAGUGGGAAGCAAAUGUUUGUUUUUUUAACUAGUUGUGACAGCAAAAUGUAUUUCAAUUCAUCAUACACAUAUGGAGCACAACAUUUCUGUGUCCUGAUUGUACACGGUGUAGAGAUGCACCAUUCAUGCAAGUAGGGUAAUAAUGUCCAUCUCAUUCCACCAUCUUUUCUACUUCCAUAACACCUCUCCACCACCCUUCCUUUGCCCAAUUCAAAGUUCCUCCAUUCUUCCCAUGUCCCCCACCCCCAUCAUAGAUCAGCAUCCACUAAUCAGAGAAAACAUUUGACUUUUAGUUUUUUGGGUUGGAUAACUUUUCUUAGCAUAAUAUUCUCUAACUCUAGUGGAAUGCAUUUUUAACACUUGCCUCCAGGGUUGUUUUCACUUCUAAUAAUGAUGUUUUGGUUGUAAAAUGGUUUGAUAUUAAUAGAGGUAUAAUUUUAUAAUCAUUUUAUCAGACACUUAAUGCUAAGUAUAAUCCUACACAUCUUCUUUCUCACCUCUCUUGAUCCUUAGUUUAUACCAGUGUUCUGUAUUAUAAUUUCUCUACAGUUUCAGUACUAAAUAGGGACAGUACUUGUACCUGAUUUGAAUCUGUAUCAUAUGAUUUUUUUUUCUUUUUUUUUUUUUCAUAUGAAUUUUAAGUUGUUAUCAUCUGGUAUUUUGAAAAGUCAGUCCAUGGCAUAGAAUCAAUGAGAGAAAAGAAUUUCUCCCCCUGAGAAUUCAAAACAUCUUUUAUAGCAAUUUAUCCUUUUAGGCUUUUUCUUAAGAGAGUCCCUUAUCUCUCUUAGUUUAGUAGUUCUCAAAGUUUGGUCUCACACAAGCAGCAUCAGGCAUCACCUUGGAUCAUAUUAGAAGCACCAGUUUGUGGUUGUCAAUCCCAAACCUUAUUAUAUAGAGACUGGGGAUUGAGGCCAGAAUCCGAUGUUUCCGAGAUAUGCAGAAGUCUUAAGAACUGUUAUUUUGCUGGGCACCAUGGCACACAUCUGUAAUCCCCAGUGGCUUGGGAGGCUAAGGCAGGAGGAUCUUGACUUCAAAGCCAGCCUCAGCAACGGCAAGGCGCUAAGUGGCUCAGCAAGGCCCUGUCUAUAAAAAAAUACAAAAUAGGGCUGGUGAUGUGGCUCAGUGGUUGAGUGCCCCUGAGUUCAGUCCCCAGUAAACCACCCGCCCCAGCUCAAACCCCUAGUUAACCCCCCACAAGAAAAAAAAAUAACUGUUAUCUUUUUUAUCCCCUCCAUAUUCAACAUUGUGUUUACUUCUAUCAAGAGUUGUAGUAGCAUGGUUAUAGAUGAGUUUUUAUUUUAAUUUCUAAGCUUAGAGAUUCACCGCAUGUAUAGGGAAAUUUAGACUCCAACUCUAAUGUGAGAUAUGAACCUGGGUUUAAGUUCUUGAGAGAGAAAUCCAUCCUUCACUUAAUCCAGAUAGAGCCAGGUGUGUUUCCUUGCUGACUCUAUGCCAGUGGGAUGACUUUUCCUAUUAUUAAGUAUAUAGCUUUGGAUUAACUUCUUGCAAGAAUCUCAGUGAUGCCUUAUCGUCUGUCUUUAGAUCUUUGUUUCAUGAUUUUUAUAUUUAGGCUGGUUUUUGUCACAAUAGAAGUCUUUAUAGAGUUAUUUAUCAAAGUACAAUUCAGGAAGUACAACAGUAAUCCUUCAUGCCUUGUUCUAGGUUGAUUUUAAUUAUUGAAAAUCAGUAAACAUUCUUCAUUGUGUCAGGGUUAUUAGUAAUUUUACUCAUUGCAGAACGAAGAGCAUGUUUGGCCCAUGGAGAAGGAAAUGUAAUCUUCUUACUACCUAUUCCACUCAAAGAAUGCUCUAGAAUACAAGAUCAGAUGGAAUUGAUUUCCUUUAUUUUGCUGAACUCUGAUUGCCUUUUAUCUUUUUUAUAACAUGGGCCAUUUGCUUAAAUUUUACUAAUUACUUCCAUGAUCACAGACAUAUUGUUUUUUAGUUCGAUCAUUUUUCUUAGAGCCACCUGACUACUUGUUUUUAUUUGGAAUGAUUACUUUUCAGACUUGCUGCAUUGCGAUUCCUGGGAUUGCUUUUCAUUGCACUUUUGUAUUUAUUCUACCUUUUAUUGGAACAUAUAUCUCUCUUUCAAAUCUUGAGAGGAAAUGGUCAAGCAUAUACAUAAAAUACAUAAAAUUUUCUGAUGUACGAGAAUCAAUUUUUUAAGUCUUAAUAGUCAGUACAUCUGGCAAGUUCUUGUUUUUGUCCUCACCAGAUUGAUAGUUUGGAGAUUAAUAGUUUAGAGUAUAAAAUUAUAGAUUCAAUGUUAUCUUACCUUAAAGUAUUUUUAGUAUCCUUUGUUUCUUCUGGUGUUUUUUUAUUUUAUUUAUUUAUUUAUUUAUUUGUAGUUUAUUUCACUUCCCUUUUCUGGAAACAGGAUGUUUUUGAGUUCCUUAAACUACUAGAAUUGAUAAGGAUGUGAUGAAACCACAUUGUAUAUAGUAUACUUUUAUAUAUAUAUAUAUAUAUAUAUAUAUAUAUAUGUAUAGUAUACUUUUUAAUGUUUCCCUGUCCCUGAAUUCAUCCUGGCUUCCUAUUACUUUCAGUAAAAAAAAUUAAGAUGUACCAGAGAACUAAUGAAUAAAUAGCUCGCCUCCCUUCACUUCUGUUUGUCUUUUCUUUUUUACUUAUGUGAAAUCAUCAUAGCACAAAGAGAAGGAGAGGAACUUUUCUCAGCCAUCUUUCCUUACCUCUUAUUAAAUCAUUGCAUUUUCUGUAAAAUAUGAACUUGUUAACCCACAUUUUGAACAUUGUGAAAUGUGAAACUUUACAGCCAGCCAAAAUUCUUUCUUAUUUCAUUUGAUCUUUAUCGUGCUCAUCUGUAGCAUUAACCUCCAUCUUGAAUGAAGUUGAAUGCAUAAAUUUUUAGAAUUCAGAGUUCCAUGUCAGGCUUUGCAGAAGUAUGUGCAGGGUAGGAGAUACAUAUGAAAGGUAGUGAUCAACCUUUUUUACUUUAAAAAGUCACUGUUGGGAUGGGGAUGUGGCUCAGUGAUUAGAUGCCUCUAGAUUUAAUCUCUAAUAACUUUUUUUUUUAACCAGCUAUGGAGAUAGCUUAUUUUUCUGGUGCUCAUGAUUGGUUAUUUUAUUAGUUUCUCAGGUCUUACUUGCUCUGUUCUUUUAUUAAAAAAUCAAAAUAUCUCAGGUUUGAAUGGGUAUUUUUCAUUUUUAAAAUUUUGAGAUUAUUAGAACAUAGGAACUUAAAAUCAGGUAAAAACGGUCAUAUUUUUAAUAGUAUCAUUAAGAUAAAUUAAUAUCAUAGUAAGAACUAUAAAGCAUACUCUUUCAUAUAUGGUUCUGACCUAUUUUCUAUUUUUAUUGUGACAAUUGAAUUGUAAUAUUAAAUAUAGAAGGAAAAUGGCAUGACUUUUGGAACAUCUCUGCUGAAUAAUUUGGAAUGAUCAAAUGUAAUCAUUUGGCAAUUUGCUUCAUUCCGCCCAAUUUAAAGAAAGCAAUCAGUUGUUUUGUGUUUAUCUUUAAAAAAAUCCUACAUUGUAAUAUGUAGAUAUGUGGACUCUUUUGGGUAAUGUUUUAAUAUGACAUUUGUGCAUGUAAUAGGAAUCUCUCUCUCUCUCUCUCUUUUUUUUUUUUUUUUUUUUGCAACCUAAAUUUGUACCCUAAUAUCUAAGUAGUUAGAACUUGUAGGAGUAGAUUGGAAAAUAGGUCUGUUAGAAAACAUGUAGCCCUCUCAGAUUUUCAGCUAGUUUGUACUUUUGUAAGACUCAGUUGAAAAAUCAAAUUGGAUGGGGAGAAUCCUGGAAAGUCAAUAAUGCAAUUAAGUGAUCAUAUCAGUUUUAUAGCUAGUAAGCCUAUACUGUGAGCCUUGAAAAUGACAAAUCCCAAAGUGCUAUGACAUUUUAAUUAGGAAAUGAUGAUCUAUAUUAGUUGACUAUUUCUAUUUCAUAUAAAUCUUACUUUAUCUAUGUAAUUAUCAUUAAAAAAUAUAUGUAUAGUAGCCCAAACAGAGAGAGAAUAGUAGUGGUAAUAGUAGUAGAAUUUAGAAGCAAGUUGAGGGCCUGUGAGAUGGAGGGGGGUAUCCUAAACCAAACUUUGAACUUGUCAAUUGAUGGUUAGAUGAUUAACUGGUAAUUGGCAAAGAGCAUGGUAGAAUUUCUCAAGCUGAUUAGGAUUUUAAAGAUAAGGUCAAGUACUAUAUUAAAGCUCAUUGCACUAUCAUAUGCCUUAUAUAUUGUUACCUGACAUUUUAUCAUUAAUUUUUUAAAAAGUUAAUUUUUCAUUUGUUGUGCAUCUCACUUCUUUCUACCUUAAAUAGCAUUUUCUUUAGGGCUUUACAUUUAGAUUUAUAGUGCAUGUGUAUUCUCAUUUACAUUUUGGGGGUAAAUAUAUUUAAAUAAUUAUGCAUAUGCUGUAUUAUGAAAUCCUUAAAAGGCCUUAUUCAGUUGAUUGAUUUUGUUGCAUUGGCAGAGUGAAGAUAGUCCGAGUCCUAAGAGACAGCGCCUCUCUCAUUCAGUCUUUGAUUAUACAUCAGCAUCACCAGCUCCCUCACCACCAAUGCGACCAUGGGAGAUGACAUCAAAUAGGCAGCCCCCUUCAGUUCGACCAAGCCAACAUCACUUCUCAGGGGAACGAUGCAACACACCUGCACGCAACAGAAGAAGGUUAGUUGGUUAUAAUUUAUUUCUUA